GAUGAACGCUAGCGGCAGGCCUAAUACAUGCAAGUCGAACGGUGUCUUCGGACAUAGUGGCGCACGGGUGCGUAACACGUAUGCAACCUACCUUACAUUGGGGGAUAGCCUUUCGAAAGGCAGAUUAAUACCGCAUAAGACAGUAGCUGGGCAUCCAGCAGCUGUUAAAGAUUUAUCGAUGUAAGCUGGGCAUGCGUCCAAUUAGCUAGUUGGUGAGGUAACGGCUCACCAAGGCAAAGAUUGGUAGGGGAACUGAGAGGUCAAGCCCCCACACUGGCACGGAGAUGCGGGCCAGACGCCUACGGGAGGCAGCAGUAGGGAAUAUUGGGCAAUGGACGCAAGUCUGACCCAGCCAUGCCGCGUGCAGGAUGAAGGCGUUAUGCGUUGUAAACUGCUUUUAUACAGGAAGAAACGACUCUUGCGAGAGGCAUUGACGGUACUGUAUGAAUAAGCACCGGCUAACUCCGUGCCAGCAGCCGCCGUAA
rnacentral:rRNA from 1 species